GGCAGUAUCCUAACUUCUUCACUCUUGUCCACAUUUGUCUUGGCGCUCUGGGGAAGAAGAAAACAAACUCAAAGAAGCAAUUUUUCUGGAAACACACAAUUGCAGAAAGAGAUUCAGAGAGGCUGUUCCUGGUUUCUUGGCUAAGGUCCUUUCUACUAUCCAGACUACAUUGGCUCAGUCCAGGAGGAGUCAAAGAAGAUUUGGAGCAUCCUCUGGCUCUAUUGCUAACUACCUGUGUGACCUUGAAGAAAUGCAUUAACCUCUGUAUCUAUGUUUCCUCAAAUUUAUAUGGGGCAAUCAUUCCUAUGAUUGCUUUGAAAAUUAAAUAUGGAAGUGUCAACAAAGCAUAUGGUGGAGGAUCUGGUGCUCAAAGAAUAUUAGUUAUCUUCCUUAAGGAACUUAUAAGGACACUGCAGCCCAGAGAAGAAACCUGCAAAGGCCGUGUUCACACACUCACAAGAGAUAUGGCUGUGAUUUGGAUCCAGAUGUGAUGGGCUGACAACAAAACUCCUGUGAUACCAUGAAGUCUUCGGGAGGCAGAAUUGAAGUGAACAUGAAGUUUAGCUUAGAGAAGAAAAGAAUAAAUACAUACAAAACAUUUGAUGGUGAAUAAACAGAAAAUGGUGUAUUCAACAGAAUUUGACUCAGCAAUAAAAAUGAACCAAACUAUGGAAAACAACACCCAACAACAGGAAGAAAUCUCAAAAUAA
ensembl:lncRNA LINC01990 long intergenic non-protein coding RNA 1990